GACGACGCGUGCGAACGUUGUUCGGAUUCCCUGGGCUUAAAGGGCGCGUAGGCGGGUCCUCAAGUCCGGGGUGAAAUCCUCUCGCUUAACGAGAGAACUGCCCCGGAUACUGGAGACCUCGAGGGAGGUAGGGGCAUGUGGAACUUCCGGUGGAGCGGUGAAAUGCGUAGAUAUCGGAAGGAACGCCGGUGGCGAAAGCGACGUGCUGGACCUUUUCUGACGCUGAGGCGCGAAAGCCAGGGGAGCAAACGGG
rnacentral:rRNA from 1 species